GACGAACGCUGGCGGCGUGCUUAACACACGCAAGUCGAACGGUAAGGCCCUUCGGGGUACACGAGUGGCGAACGGGUGAGUAACACGUGGGUGAUCUGCCCUGCACUUCGGGAUAAGCCUGGGAAACUGGGUCUAAUACCGGAUAGGACCACUGCCUGCAUGGGAGGUGGUGGAAAGCUUUUGCGGUGUGGGAUGGGCCCGCGGCCUAUCAGCUUGUUGGGGGGGUGAUGGCCUACCAAGGCGACGACGGGUAGCCGGCCUGAGAGGGUGACCGGCCAGACUGGGACUGAGGUACGACCCAGACUCCUACGGGAGGCAGCAGUGGGGAAUAUUGCACAAUGGGCGCAAGCCUGAUGCAGCGACGCCGCGUGAGGGAUGACGGCCUCCGGGUUGUAAACCUCUUUCAGCACCGACGAAGCGCAAGUGACGGUAGGUGCAGAAGAAGGACCGGCCAACUACGUGCCAGCAGCCGCGGUAACAC
rnacentral:rRNA from 1 species